ACCUUCUUACUUAAGCUCUGUACUAAAAUUACAGAAAGUAGUAACCGUGUUUUAGUAUUUAUAAAUAAAGCAGCAGAGUAAACAAAAGAAGAGAAACAACUAUACCAGAUAAUAGAAAAACUGAGCUGAAUCUCUUUCAUAAGUCCAGGAUACUUUGUUCUAAAAUUUGGUACAAUAAUA
rnacentral:snoRNA from 2 species